rnacentral:misc_RNA from 1 species
UUAUUGUAACCCAGUACCACCUGCC